rnacentral:rRNA from 1 species
GCUGGCGGCAGGCCUAAUACAUGCAAGUCGAGCGCGCCCUUCGGGGUGAGCGGCGGACGGGUGAGUAACGCGUGGGAAUAUGCCCUUCUCUAAGGAAUAGCCUCUGGAAACGGAGAGUAAUACCUUAUACGCCCUUUGGGGGAAAGAUUUAUCGGAGAAGGAUUAGCCCGCGUUAGAUUAGGUAGUUGGUGGGGUAAUGGCCUACCAAGCCUACGAUCUAUAGCUGGUUUGAGAGGAUGAUCAGCCACACUGGGACUGAGACACGGCCCAGACUCCUACGGGAGGCAGCAGUAGGGAAUCUUAGACAAUGGGGGCAACCCUGAUCUAGCCAUGCCGCGUGUGUGAUGAAGGCCCUAGGGUCGUAAAGCACUUUCGCCAGAGAUGAUAAUGACAGUAUCUGGUAAAGAAACCCCGGCUAACUCCGUGCCAGCAGCCGCGGUAAUACGGAGGGGGUUAGCGUUGUUCGGAAUUACUGGGCGUAAAGCGCACGUAGGCGGAUUAGUAAGUUAGAGGUGAAAUCCCAGGGCUCAACCCUGGAACUGCCUUUAAUACUGCUAGUCUUGAGUUCGAGAGAGGUAAGUGGAAUUCCGAGUGUAGAGGUGAAAUUCGUAGAUAUUCGGAGGAACACCAGUGGCGAAGGCGGCUUGCUGGCUCGAUACUGACGCUGAGGUGCGAAAGUGUGGGGAGCAAACAGGAUUAGAUACCCUGGUAGUCCACACCGUAA